UACAGAGGUCUCAAGCGUUGUUCGGAUUCAUUGGGCGUAAAGGGUGCGUAGGCGGCGCGGUAAGUCGGGUGUGAAAUCUCGGAGCUUAACUCCGAAACUGCAUUCGAUACUGCGGUGCUCGAGGACUGGAGAGGAGACUGGAAUUCAUGGUGUAGCAGUGAAAUGCGUAGAGAUCAUGAGGAAGACCAGUGGCGAAGGCGGGUCUCUGGACAGUUCCUGACACUGAGGCACGAAGGCCAGGGGAGCAAACAGG
rnacentral:rRNA from 1 species